UCCUUCUCUUUCUUCUUAUCCGCCUUGCCCUCCCUGAUGCUGCGGAGCUUGGCCUUGCAGGUGCCCCCAGCCUGGUGGAUGGACUGCAACAGAGGGGCCUGGCCACUGGAGAGGUCCGCCACUUCCUUGGGAGCUCCCUGGACUGAAGGAAUGAGCUGCU